AUUGCUGGAAAAAAAUCAGAUGUUCUACCGGUCUAAUGCAUGUCUCUUUUCGGGUAAAUUCUAGAACGCAUUCUAUGCGAUAUUUCUACUAAACAUGCCUCAAUUGCACAUUGUUACCGUCUACAGUUUAUAUCGGCUCCCCCCAUCGCUUCCCCACCGUAUUUGUGCAGCCCUUCUCAUUCCAAGAGUUAUAUGCAAGCAAUGUCAAAGCUGUCAAAACGGCCCGCAAACAUAGAAUAACAACAAAAGAUGUCACAUGGAAUGCUAUUAUUACUGGCCACUGGCAAAACGGGUUUCCCGAAGAAUCAAGGAUGUUUUAAAAAAUGCUGGUUAAAAUAGUUUCCUGGAAAAUCAGGAUAGCUGUCUGCAAUCAGAAUGAGAACAUUUACAAAGUCCAUGACUACCCUCCAGCUAUGCUAGAAAGAAAUACUGUCUCAUCAAUGCAAUGAUAUCAGGUUUUGUGAAAUAUGGUCGCUUAAAGAAGCUAGCUGGCUCUUUGAAGAAAUGCCAAGGGAAUUGCUUGAUCACAUGCAAUGCAAAAUUGCUGUUUCUUGGACACUGUUGAUUAGGGGAUGCAGAUUUGAGGAAGCUGGAAAAUUGCUUGAAGAGAUGCCAGAAACCAAUAAAAAUGUUGUAUUGGUUCGGCUAUGAUUAUGGGGUCCUGUACGAAGGGGGAGUUGGAACAUGCUAGAUUUCUGUUUAAACAAGUUCUGAAUAAGAUCUUGUGUCUUUUAAUACAAUGAUAAGCGGUUAUGCACAAAUUAAUGCUGGUGAAAAAGCAUUGAGUUUCUAUUCAAAGAUCCUGGGAUGGGCUUGCUACCAGAUCAGGCAACCUUGUUUCAGUUUUCACUGACUGUUUCACUCUUGUAUCUCUUGAAGAGCAGCAUUUGCUCACCAUGGACUCUAUGAGAAAGCUCUUAAUUUUUUCAGACAGAUGACUUGGAAUGGCUUUGAACCAGAUUGGAUUACUUUUCUUAGUUUGCUGUCUGCUUGUGGACAUGCAGAGAAGGUAAAAGAGAGCACAGAUUUGUUUGACUUGAUGGUAAAAGAUUAUGGAAAUCUCCAUAGAUCUGAACACGCACUUGCUUGGUUGAUAUAUUGAGUCAAGCUGGGCAGUUGGAGAAGGCCUGUCAGAUUAUUCAAGUUAUGCCAUUAGAAUCUGACACUGGGGUCUGGGGUGUUCUUCUUGCUGCUAAUAAUAUUUAUCUAAAAGUGGAAUUAGCAGCCAAGAAAAUUACGGAUUUGGAUUGUCUUAACCCAGGGCCUUAUGUUAUGCUGUCCAACAUAUAUGCUGUGGCUGGAAUUUGGAGAAAAGCUACUAGAGUAAGGGAUCUAAUGAAAGAGCAAUGAGUUAAGAAACAAGAAGAUUAUAGCUGAAUGGAAAUCGAUAAUAAAGUGCAUUUUUUCCUUUGGGGUUUGGUGUAUCUCAUCCAGACACUGGCAAGAUUUAUUUGGAACCAGUUCACUCAAGAAGUCAAUGGAUGAUAUUGCAGAAAUUGUUUCAUCGACAUACAAACUUUUUGAUGUGACGGGUUGUAUCUUGAUGGAAUAAAAUCCUUGGUAGGAAAGGCUCGAAUUAAUUCAGUUAAUUCCAAAGUGCAUGCAUAUAAGGAUAAGAGGAAGCUUUUUAGUGGGGGAACUGGGAAUGGUAAAAUAAUUAUUACCGAGGCCUGAUGUCUUGGAAACUUGAGUAGCAAUCGGUAGAGAAACAGAGAGGGUAAUUUGUUUCAUGUCUCGCUUGUGAAGAGUGAAGUGCCACCAAUUGAUAAAUAUAUUUGUUUGAUGUACUUCUAUUGGCUGUGCAAAUGCUUUACGUAGACCAUUGAAAUACAGAGCCAGCAAUAACAUACAGGAUUGAAAACUUCUGGAGCUGGAUAGUGCAAGACUGGAACAUGGAAUUUCAGAGUUGAGGGUGUUUUUAAGAUGAUACGGAAGCAUAACAGAUAGAGAGGUAUUGUAUACACACCAUUCACAUUAACAAAAUGAAUCAUUGUUGUUACAGUGAUAACAAUGGCUGCCCAAUGGCCACGGAAGAUACUAAAUUGGCUAAUUAUUAUUAUUCUUAUCAUCUCUAGUUACAGAUAGACUAAUUUGUGAGCCAUAUCUUUAUGGCAGGUUAAGUUGUGUGACUUCCUGUUGUACUCAGCUUAUCUAUGUAGUCCAAUAUCAGAUGUUCAAUUA